AACCGAAAGUCGAUGUUCGUAAAAUAAUCUAUGGGCAAUUGAGAACGGAAUGUGAGUUUAAUGCUGGGCAAUUAGCAAAUAGUAGAUUUUUUACCAACAAAAUUUAACCAAAAGCACGUUGAAAAUUUUCUUCGAAAGUCAGUGGUUAGAAUAAUAAAAUAAAAAACGACGGCCAAUCGUACCCAGUCCAAUCCAAAUACUGUAGGCUACUAACUUCAUGCAGCAUGAUUCAUGCAGUGAUAUAUGGUCUCAUGAGAGCCAAAAGCAAUUGAAACACAGUUUGCACGAUAUUAAUACAUUAAUGAAAAAAUAAAUAUAGACGUGAAAAAAAUAUUUUUUGAAGUAUCAACCAUUCGUGGGAAUGAACCAUCAUCAUUUUCGACUUCAGGCACCAUGGACAGAUCCCAGGUAUCGCGUAACAAUACAUUAGGCUUUUCUAAAUUGUUGACGCAAGCAAUCUACUGCAAAUUGUUGACGCAUGGAGUCUACUAUAAAUUGUUGACUCAUGGUUCUGACAGUAGUAGUGAGGAUGAUUGAUUCCCACGAUGAACACUUUGUGGGAAAAUAGCCUAUAGCCUACAAGACAUUGUUAGUGAAUCCGGUUAUAUGCUGUGUUAUAGCCUAUGUUUUAGAAUCCCUCUAAAAGAGACAUCAGAGAUCCAAAUAGACUAUAUGUAUAUUGCAGUCUACUUAUUUUGUUUCAGGAAUCACAUUAUGUGGGCUAACUAUAGGAGACAUUACAUUAACCAAAUUCAGCCUAGUUCCAAGUCAAAAUUAGUUUUAAAUAGGCCUACUUCACACACAGCAACUGCUACACCUCAUAAUGGUUGGCUGUGCUGUUGUACAUGUGAAAAUCUGAUUGGGAUUUCAAACCAAUAUUAGACGGAUGUUGUUGGUAUUAAGGCUUAGAAGUGACAAUGGACAGCAAGCUCGUGCUUUACGGUACGCGGUCACUGGUCCCAACCUUGAGCUCCUGUGGGAAGAUGGAAUGGGAGGGGUGGCCUGAAGGCUGGCUUUAAGAACAACACCCACAAAAGGACAAAGUCAUCAGGACUGUACUACACAUGGAUUGCAUUAGCUGCCAGUGUUCAGCAGAAGAACACGGAAAAAGCAGAGGAAGUUAGCUGAGGCCUGACUAACGGAUGGUCUGACACUGUGAGGAUCACCACUAAUGUGUUCUUUUCAGAGAUGUACCACAGAGUUCACCGAGCCACAUUCAGAGAGUCUCUGAGAUGUGGAGAAAAUGUUAAGAAUCAAAGGGUCACGGAAAUGAAAAGGAAAGGAACAGUGAACAGGAUGACAUUGAUGAAGUCCAGGGCUUUCUCGUCGGGAAAUUGACAAAAUCACACCCAGAUUUGGAGGAGCAGCUAGGGGCUCUCCGCAAGCACCAACGACAUGGCCCUUCUCAAAGUGCGGGACCUUCAAAGUACUGGAACAACCAUUAUUUAUGCUGCAAGUUUUUCCUGACCACAUGACCUGACUAGGAAAAACUCAGGGCCCUAGUUAAAACUAGACAGUAAAACCCAUGGCCCUACCCAUUAGCAAAGGGCUACCCACUGAAUCCGUGACUGUAAGGAUCGCUGUGGUAACAGUUUGAUUAAUGGGAAUGAAAUGGAAAUCAUAGCACUAUACUUACUAUAGAGUUUACUAAAGCAAUCAAUCAUGUUAUUAUGGACAAUAUUAUUCUGUACAAUAGAGAGAUUGCCAAGCACACGAUAAAUGGACAGGGCUUGGCCACAUGUUGCUCCAACCACCCCAUGUGUUAUGGCUUUGAUUGUAUAAAUGGAAAGGAAAAGGGAGCUCUCAAUAAACCUUAAUCCCAAUCAGUUCAACACAGCAUGGUAUGAUUCUAUUUGAACAUUUUUGACAUUGAGCCAAUGAUAUAUGUACAGACUUUGCAGGACACAGAGUUGCACAGAGUACUUCUGAAUAAAACAAAUAAUAUAUGAUUUAUUGUAUAUAAUUAUAUUAUAUAAUAUUUUAUUAAAUCUGUACGAUUAUUUGUGUUUAUGCAUGUAACAUUUUCAACAAGCACUAUAGGCAUGCCAAGGUGAUGUACAUUCCCAAGAAAAAUAAUCAACUGGCUCAAUUUAAAAUAAUUUUUACUUUUGAUGAAAAUGCUAAAUGUUUCAUUCUGUAGAUCUAAG